rnacentral:rRNA from 1 species
AUUGAACGCUGGCGGCAUGCUUUACACAUGCAAGUCGAACGGUAACAGGGUGCUUGCACCGCUGACGAGUGGCGAACGGGUGAGUAAUGCGUCGGAACGUGCCGAGUAGUGGGGGAUAACGCAGCGAAAGUUGUGCUAAUACCGCAUACGUACUGAGGUAGAAAGUGGGGGACCUUCGGGCCUCACGCUAUUCGAGUGGCCGACGUCGGAUUAGCUAGUAGGUGAGGUAAAGGCUCACCUAGGCGACGAUCAGUAGCGGGUCUGAGAGGAUGAUCCGCCACACUGGGACUGAGACACGGCCCAGACUCCUACGGGAGGCAGCAGUGGGGAAUUUUGGACAAUGGGCGAAAGCCUGAUCCAGCCAUGCCGCGUGUCUGAAGAAGGCCUUCGGGUUGUAAAGGACUUUUGUCGGGGAGGAAAUCCCCAGCGUUAAUACCGCUGGGGGAUGACAGUACCCGAAGAAUAAGCACCGGCUAACUACGUGCCAGCCGCCGCAGUAACAC